ensembl:lncRNA
CCCAGGCCAUUCUGUGAUUCUGCACCAAGUGCCUCUCACAGUGCAGACACCCAGCCCCAGCAAAAGGGAUAUGUGCAAUGCAGCAUAAUCUCCCUUGCAGGAUUCUCACAGGGAAUCCCUAAUUCAGGAUUUCAAGUCUGCAUUAUGCAACUCGGAGUGUGCAAGCAGCUACAGGUGAAGGAUUGGAAGGGGUCUGUAAUGCCUGCUCAGCCCCUCAGAACCCAGACUUUCAUCGACCACCAUCUCCCUCCCCUCCAGCCAAGUGAAAUCCUCUGGAUCUCAGCCGGGCUUCAGAUGGAGGAGCUGAGAGAACAGCAUCAACUCAGCCCAGAGCUCCAUAAAGGUCAGCUCCUUGAAAUAUGUGGAACACGCAGAGCCUAAGGCCAGGAGUGGUGCAGAGCUGGAAUCCCAGGGGCACGCCACAACCUCACUGAGGCUACAGAGACCUGGUUAUAAGGUUUCCUGAUUACCUUUAACAUAGUUUAUUUUUCAAAAUAAAAGGUGAUAGAGAGACUUGGCAACUAUUUCAUAACCCCUUUUUCACCCACACACUGAUGCUUCAGGUAGAAUGAGGUCCAGGUACAGAUAAGCCUUCUAAGAGAAGACUAAGCAGCUAUGAAAGCUGUUAGCCAAGAAAUGAGCUUUGCAGCAUCAGUGCUCCAUGGGUGCACAUGUGCCCUGCUGCUUAAAUCCAAGGAAUAAGAUGGCAAAAAGGGA